GAGCAGAGCGCGCGUGAGUGCGGGGCACCCGGGGGCUGGGCGCCUGCCUGCUCACCCCUCCAACACCCUGGUCCACCCAGAUGCCCCGGGACGUACACGGCAGCCUCCCGGCCGGGCACCCUACCUAGGUCUGGGCCUGGCACUGCGGGCCAGUGCAUGCACGGUGGCACCCCACCGCGCGGGCUGAGCACGCCCGUCUAGUCCUUAGUGGAUCCCCGCGGAUGCACGAUCCUCCUCACGAUCCUUGGAUGCGUGAUUCCCCCAAGGAUGCAUGGUCCCCCUGUGCAUGAGACCCCCACGGAUGCAUCAUCCUCCCUGGAUGCAUGGUCCCCCCAAGGAUGCAUAAUCCUCCCGUGGACCUGGCACAUGCGUCCCGCGCUUCUUUCCAGAAAGGCCUGCUGGCUCAGCGAAGCGCUGCGGGUGUGAGACGUGCUGAAUGCGGGCCUGGGUGCGCCCUGCUCUCCCUCGGUUCUGGCUGGCCUAAAGAACAAAGUGUUAGUGGUCCAUUCCAGGGGCAAAUGCAAGUAGCCCGCGCACCAGAAGUGGAAGCCUUGUGGCCAGAAAUGCUGAGAGCUAGGUGAGGCACCCAGGCAGUGGCAACAUGGACCAUGAGGAGCUUCCCAGAUGCCCAUGUGAUCAGCCUACGCCGUAGAGUCAGAAGAGGAGUGCGAAGAUUCUGGCGCCCAAUGUCAAUUUUUUUAUUGCUCAGAAGGUUACAAAAAGAUUGGUUCCUGUUGGUUUGGAAUAAAGAAAUGCUGUAAGCGCAUUUCACGGAUUGAAGAACCUUGGAGGACAAGCACCCCGACCUUGAAAUAAAGGGCUCACUUUACC